UACACUGCCAAAAAACUGACAAGAAGAAGAAGAAGACGUGUUCUUGGAAGAAGGUUGUUGUGAUUUCAAAUUCUCCGUGGGAAAACCUGGGUUUGACGGCGUUCAAGAGCAGAGUUCUCUACAUUUGGCCCAACAGCUCAAAUGGAAACUAGAGCACAAGAUCAGAAUGAAGCUCCCACACAUGGCCUUAUGACUGUUGCCCCAGUGAAGAGCCCGAGGUCCAGCCUUCCCCACUCAAGACAUGCCUGAGACAAGAGUGACUGUAUUCCAAGUUGAUCCAAGGUGAUCCUAACUUAAAUGUAGUUCACCGUUUGAAAAAGACAAAAAUACUCAACACUAUUAAUGUUGAAAUCAUUGGUCUAUGGUUAUUACUUUCCUGAAACUACCGUUCACCCUUUUUAUGUUUUUGUAUCUAGUUUUGUAUGUUUGUCUCAUCUUCUGUACCAUAAUUAUGCUUGCACAUAUUGCCUACCUAGAAAUGUAACUUGAACCUGAUCUCAAUGGUAUUCUAUACAAUGACAAUAAAGGCUUUCUAUUCUA